CCAUCACACAUCAUUGGCUCAGCUUCCACAUGAAUCUUUGCUCUGAAGAUGAAUCUAUUCUUAUUCUCCUCUCUUUGUGACCUGGAGUUGUUCCCCUCUUCUAGCAGAAAGUAAAAAGGUCAAAAGUGGAUAGGCUGUGAGUAGAAGGUCACAAAUUCUGUCAUCUCAAUUCAAAUUGAG
rnacentral:lncRNA from 1 species